GCUAGACCAAUGCUUCUCUGUAGAUUUCUCUGAUCACCUUGUUUUCUCCCCUGCCUUCCAGAUUGACCUUCUACUAAAGGAAGCUGUGGAAUUUCUCUGGUCUCCAGUCUCACUUGUGUCAUGUUCAGAGGAGUUUGGAAACUCCAGCCUCGACACCCUACCCCUGAGCCUCCACUCUGCUUCCAACUUCAAACCCAGCUUCUCAGGAGCCACCUAAACCUAACCAGGAACCUGCCUGUCCACCCUCCAACGUUAACUCUCCAAACACAGUGGAGUUUCCUGGAAGAGAAGAAGCACAAGCAAAGAAACAAAGUAAUUCACCUUCUAAAAACUAUGCACUGCCUGUCAACCUCAAGCCACUGUGGAAAAAGGGACUUAUUACUCCCCCUGGUGUUACCAUGAACUCAACCCCUAGAGAUCCCGAUCUUGCCCGCUGCUCCAGUCCAGGUUCCAGUCUGACCUUAAAACUGUGUAUCUAAAUAAACUGUUAAAACGCUGUCCUGGUCUCAUGGUUGUCAGAGUCUAAGAAAAACCCAUUAUGACAGAACGAGCUGACCAGAUUGACUCUGAUACACAACUAUGGGGAGCCAUUUCCCAUCAGGGAGUUUUAUUAGGUCAACACGAUACCAUGCUCAGAUCACUAGGUCAACAACAGAACCAGAUUCAACAGUCAGUUAGCACCAUGAAUUGUCAGUUUCAGGAAUUAAUAUCCAGAAUUCCCGUACCACAAAUAAAUCCUGUCUCUUCUCCUCUGCCCCCUGCUCAGGUCGUGUCUACUCCCACCCAGGUUCAUUACCCAGCCUGGGAAAUUAUCCGUCCUUUGUCUGAACCAUUCUCAGGUGACCUUGAAAAAUGUAAGGGUUUUCUUUUACAGUGCACUCUAAUUUUUCACAGGUCACCUCAAUCUUUCCCCGAUGAUGUCACUAAUAUCUUUUAAAAUCGGGCUACUCCUGGACCAAGCCUUAAGAUGGGCAGAGGCCACCAUCAAUGAAUCAUCCAU